rnacentral:rRNA from 1 species
AUGGCGUCGUCUAUCACUGCUCCGGCCGCUGCCCCCGGCAGCGUCGUCAGGCCACCAGCUAAGGUUAGGCCACGGCCACCAUCAUCGAGGUUCAACCCUAACGAUCCCCGCAGGAACGCGGAUGGCUCUGCUGUUGUCACUUGGAAGGGCCCAAUGCGAGCGGCUCCCGCGCGGAAAAAGUGGCCCAACCCGUUCCAGCGCAUGGUGGCCGCUGCGUUGGACGCGGUGGAGGACAGGCUAGUCGUCGGCAUUCUCGAGCGCAAGCACCCGCUGCCGCGAACGGCGGAUCCGGCCGUGCAGAUCUCCGGUAACUACGCGCCGGUGGGGGAGCUUCCACCCGCCGGGCCGGAGGACCUCCCUGUCGUGUCAGGCCGCGUCCCGGCGUGCCUCGAAGGCGUGUACGUCCGCAACGGCGCCAACCCGCUCCACGCGCCGCGCGCUGGCCACCACCUGUUCGACGGCGACGGGAUGCUCCACGCCGUACGCCUAGGCGGUGGCCGUGCCGAGUCCUACGCGUGCCGGUUCACGGAGACGGCAAGGCUUCGGCAGGAGCGCGAGAUUGGCCGCCCCAUUUUCCCCAAGGCUAUCGGCGAGCUCCACGGCCAUUCUGGCGUGGCGCGGCUGGCGCUCUUCGGGGCAAGGUCGAUCUGCGGCGUGGUGGACGCGUCUCAAGGGAUCGGUGUCGCCAACGCUGGGCUGGUGUACCACGACGGCCGCCUCCUCGCCAUGUCCGAGGACGACCUCCCCUACCACGUUCGCGUCACCCCCGAUGGCGACCUUGAGACGGUCGGCCGCUACGACUUCAAUGGGCAGCUCGAUGGCGCCAUGAUCGCGCACCCCAAGCUCGACCCGGCCACCGGCGAGCUUUUUGCGCUCAGCUACAAUGUUGUCUCGAAACCUUACCUCAAGUACUUCUACUUCACAGCCGACGGGCACAAAUCCCACGACGUCGAUAUCCCGGUCGACGAGCCAACAAUGAUUCACGACUUCGCCGUCAGCGAGAACUACGCCAUCGUCCCUGACCAGCAGAUCGUUUUCAAGCUCCAAGAGAUGGUGCUAGGCGGCUCACCGGUGGUGUACGACAAGAACAAGACGGCGCGGUUCGGCGUGCUGCCUAAGCGCGCUGCCAACGCUUCGGAUCUCCGGUGGGUGGAGGUCCCCGGCUGCUUCUGCUUCCAUCUCUGGAACGCGUGGGAGGACGAGGCCACCGGUGAGAUCGUAGUCAUUGGGUCCUGCAUGACACCGCCGGACGCCGUGUUCAACGAGUCACCGGACCAGGAGCAGAGCUUCCGAAGCGUGCUCUCGGAGAUACGCCUCGACCCGCGCACUGGUACGUCCCGCCGCCGCGCCGUGCUGCGGGAGGCCGACCAGGUGAACCUUGAGGCCGGCAUGGUGAACCGGCAGCUCCUGGGGAGAAAGACGCGGUAUGCCUACCUCGCCAUCUCUGAGCCGUGGCCCAGGGUUUCCGGUUUCGCCAAGGUGGACCUCGAGUCCGGCACGGUGGAGAAGUUCACCUACGGCGAGGGUCGGUACGGCGGUGAGCCCUGCUUCGUGCCGCACGCGGAUGGCUCCGGCGCGGAGGACGACGGGUACGUGCUCUGCUUCGUGCACGACGAGAGCCGCGGUAACGCCGACGGCACGUCGUCGGAGCUGCUGGUUGUCAACGCCCGGGACUUGCGCUCGGAGGCCACUGUAAAGCUGCCGGGGCGCGUGCCACGGAUUUCACGGCACGUUCAUCACCGCCACGGAGCUGCAGCGACAAGCCCAGCUAUAGCUAGCUAG